UACUCCUACGGGAGGCAGCAGUGGGGAAUCUUGGACAAUGGGGGCAACCCUGAUCCAGCCAUGCCGCGUGAGUGAUGAAGGCCUUAGGGUCGUAAAGCUCUUUCGCCUGUGAAGAUAAUGACGUAGCAGUAGAGCCCGCU
rnacentral:rRNA from 1 species